AAUAAAUGGGAAUAUCAAUGCAUAGUUUUUAGCAUAACAUCUUGACUCCUCGAUAAUUAUAUCCGUUCGGAGCCUACGCAGAAUUAGCCUGAAUUGCAUGGUAACUGCUGCUGCUUUAAAAUUUUUAAAAAUUACUCAUAAUUUUCCCAAAGAUUACCAAGAUCUCGAGUGCACAAUGUCAUCAGCGUAAUGAAGAGUAAACAUUUAUGCUAAUAAUCUGCAAUUUUUUUCAUCAGCUAUAAAGACAGAGGCUAUAUAGCCGAAAAUUUCAGUGCUAUUCGGCAAGCAGCGCUGCAAAAAAGCCUGCGGCGCUCGGAGUCGCCUGCUCCUGGGGACCUCUUUCCACUCUCUACUCCCAGGAUAGGAGGAUGGGGCCAGGGGGUUCUUUUUGGUUUCCUGGUUUUGUUUUGCUCUGGUUUGGCCGGUUUCAUAUUUUCCUGUUUUUCCUUUUUUCCCUCCCCUUUUUUCCCUUUAUUAUUUUUUCCUUUUUUUGCCUUUUCUUUCCCGUCCUUUUCCCAGCCAAAAGCUGCCUUCGAUCCUUUUGAUUUGAUGUAGCAAAGAGUGUGUGUCCAGAUUAUCUGAAAUUGACACUGAAGAAGACUUGUAAUAGAUAUUCACUGAGACCAGGAUGUCACUGCAACCAGCCCUGGGGCGGCCUUGCAUUCAGAUCUCAUUUCAAGGUAACUGACAGCGCAGAAACAGGUGAGCUAGUCAGGAACUGAGGACAGUUACCAUAAGUCAACAUUGUUACGCCUUAAGUUGUGCUAUUUAGUUAUGGUUAUUUCUGAGGGACUUCGGCCUUUGGGCAGGAGGUAUAAUAUUAAUAUCUUUCCCAAAGCAUUUGUGCUACAUAGUUUCCGAACAGACACUGAGAGUAGAAAAGAGAUGACUGAAUAAGGCAUAAUAAUCUAGGUUUUUUUUAAGAUCCUACCGAAACCUGUAAAUUAUGUAAAUCCAAUCUCGAUAAACCUGUGAUCUGAACAGCAUUCAAUAUAAACUAUUCUCCUAUAAAAAAAAAAUCUAGUUUCUUUCUUCUUCUUCUUUUUAAAGGAUCCAACUGAUUGGCAGGCAUCACGGCCACAUCUUAAACGUGUGUUACAACGGCGAUCUUCAUUUUAAUUUCCGAUGAGAGCAGAGGAAGAAAGCCCACUCUGGAAAAACACUUGGGGUCCCUCCCCCCAUCAUACCUCUCACUCCUCUUCAUAAAAGCAGCUGUGCAAUUACUAGGCGGCUAAAGAUAGCUGAGUGCAUUCUCCGACAACAAUUGCCUCCCUGGGUCCUCCUGGAACUUCCGGCCACAGGAGUGCCACAGAAUGCAUGUGUCAAGAAUGUAGAUGUUAGAGGGUUUCAGGCCGGGUGGAGCAAGGAAGGAGCAGGCCACAGCUCCCAGGUUCUUGGCAGAAUCCCUUAGCCGGGCUCAGUCCUAGAGGCUCAGUCUGUGCACUUCCCUCUGCUUUUGCACUAGCAGUUGGUUUUUAACAAAUACUACUGGGGCCAAAUGGGCUAGCAUCUCAUGAAUGUUCCCAACCACUGUUUAAAAGCAUGCCUCUUCUAUUACUCCGGGAUCCACGGUGAGCAGGAGAUUCACCUGAUUGCAGGGUUGAAAUCCGACUUCACAGAGACCAUCCAAAUGACUUGUAUGGCAAAUUCCUCUGCUCUCAGCACACAGCAGAUGCUGGUAAAAGUGGCUGUGGCCUGGGAAGGUGGUGCAUGGAUCUGCCUCUUGGUGGGUGUCUUGGGGACAAGGGAAAUCGUGGGGCAGGUUAGCAGUGACCCGAAGAGCCACAAUGGCUGCCGGCCACCAGAUGCCACCCGGCCGCGACCUGUUUCUGAUCUCAAGAGUUGUUCUGCCCUGCAUAUCUCACCUGCUUCUCUCUGCUGAAGUCUCCUCUAAAAAUCCUUUAAGACAGAGGGACACCUACCCGUGAGCCCAGGCCUGUUCAGGGUUGGAAGCCCUUUUGGAGGGACGUCUGAGGAGGGAGGGGUGGAAGCAGGUGUGUAAAGGCUGCUCAUGAACUUGCUUUCCAGUGCUACCCUGGUAUCACAGCUCGUGUUUCAGCUGGUGAGGAUCGUGGGAGAGAAAUCUCCUUUAAGGAGUUGUAUAUCCUGUGAUCAUUUUUGGCAGUUUAAUUCCCGUUUAUGAGACAGUUGUACACCACUCUAGUGUUUUCUAGAUAAAUUAAAUUUCUUAAUCCAUUUCGAGUACUUUUUAUAACUAAAAAUACAUUCCCCAAGAGGGCAGAGGAGUACUAUGUUUAAGCCCAUGCUCUUAUAAAGAAAUAAAAGUAUACAGGGAAAUAGUUUUGUGACAUUUUCACAUGAAUCCUAUGAACAAGACUGAUCUUCACAUGCGGAUCUCAAAUGACACCUGACUUGAUAAGUUAGGGGUUUUACUUUAAUCCUUCCAGAUUUUUAUUUUCAGCAGUGUUCUCUGAAUGAAGGAAUAGCCAAACCCAGGGAUUCCCUUUGAUGACAAGGAAUGCUCAAGUACAAUUAGUAAUAUUUUUGAGAGCCGACAACUGUUUUCCAAAAGAAUGGUAUUUUUUCGUUUGUUGGUUUUAAACUGGAUCACAAAUUGCUGUAUUUUUCUUAUAAUAGUGCUGAACUUUUAUUUGAGGUUUUUUGUUUCUGAAAAGCAGACAUGAUGGACUGAAAUAAAAGAUAAUUUAUUGCAGUGCUUACUUUCAUGUGCAGAGAGAAGCAGCGUAAUUGUAAUUUACAGUAGCUGUCAAGAAAAAUCCAUCACAGAUGACAUUAAAAUGACUUAUUUUGCCUGAGCCACUUAUUGUUUAAAUGUGCAUAAUCUAAUAGAGAUUGUUUUUAAAAAUCUGCUUUGUAUUGUUCUAAAUUAAUAUCAAAACAUACACUUAUGAAUUAAACAUUAAAAACCAUUUAUUGAUACCCUUA